CUAGAUGUAUAAGGAAAAGAGAAUGCUUGAUUUUUGAGUUUGUCUCAAUCACUUUUAGCUGAUCCAUUGGGGAUUUGGGGUUAGGGUUUUGCGGUUUCAGGGUUUGGUGGUUUGCCUCCAUCUCCGGCUGUAGAGGAAGCUCCGGGGGCAGCUCGCCGGCCGGCGGUGGAGGCGAAAGAGACGGCGGCGGAGCAGAGGCGGCUUGAGCGCUGCUAGAGCCGGGCGGCGGGGGACCUCCGGUUGGUGGUGGAGGCGGCGGGGGCGUUGAGCUCUAAGAGAUUAGCAUCAACGGCGGUUCGUCGGUGGUAGCGGAGGUGGCGAAGGCCGCCGGAGCCCAGCGGGGGUGGGAGUGGCGAGGAGCUCGGGGGAGACAGAGGGGAGACGGAGGUGGCAUUGGGGGAAGAAGAUAAGAGGAGGGGGGAGAGAGAAACAAAUCUGAAUUUCCAAUCGGAUGGAAAAAAAAAGGUGGUUGAGAGGUACCUAAAUCUCAAACGUUUGAGGUAUAGAUAAACCCGAAGGAAAAUUAAGUUCUGUUUCUUUUUAUGUAGUAUGAAAAAGGAAAUCAGUCAGAUAUGUUAAAUCUGUAAGCUUUUUUUCCUUCUUGUAUCACAAAAACCUGUGGUGCCUCAAGUCUGACGGGACAAUGCGCAGUUCAUGUUUCUGCUUCUACCAACAUAUUUUACUCUGUGGCAGCAGAAAUAUUCAAACGAGAAUGCCGUAUGGACGUAUGGUUCGUGCACGGCAUCUCGUUCAUAAAUGCAUGCCGCCCUGUUACUAGCCGUUGCAUCGUUCGGCUCCAUCACCAACCUUGCUAGUGCUAACCCCCCUCUUGAACAGUGACAGUCAAAACGAAUUCAGAGUUUCCAAAUGUUUUUUUUAAACGAACGGUACAGGAUAUGAAAAGGACAACCGAAAUGGAAUUUCUCAGAGUUUGCGAAGGGCGCAUAGGCUAUGCCCACAUGGGGCAAGUCAAACCUUUAAAAUAAGCACUUGUUCAUCUAGAACUAGGAGUAAGUACUUCACUUGUUGACAAAAUGAUCGCAAAAUAAGCCUGCUUGCGACUCCCUCGGAUGGAGUAUAUAAACAUAUAGCCCCCCAAAAGAAAAAC
rnacentral:lncRNA from 1 species